rnacentral:rRNA from 1 species
AGAGUUUGAUCMUGGCUCAGGAUGAACGCUAGCGGCAGGCCUCAUACAUGCAAGUCGAGGGGCAGCGAAACACUUCGGUGUUGUCGGCGACCGGCGAACGGGUGCGUAAUGCGCAUGCAAUCUACUUUACACUGGGGAAUAGCCUCCGGAAACGGGAAUUAAUACCUCAUACAAUCUUAUUAACGCAUGUUAAAAAGAUAAAAGCUCCGGCGGUGUAAAAUGAGCGUGCGUCCUAUUAGCUAGUUGGUGAGGCAAUGGCUCACCAAGGCUACGAUGGGUAGGGGUUCUUAGUGGAAGAUCCCCCACACUGGCACUGAGAUACGGGCCAGACUCCUACGGGAGGCAGCAGUAGGGAAUAUUGGUCAAUGGGCGCAAGCCUGAACCAGCCAUGCCGCGUGCAGGAUGAAAGCUCUCUGAGUUGUAAACUGCUUUUGUACAGGAGCAAAACAAUCCCUGCGGGGAUUCUUGAGAGUACUGUAAGAAUAAGCACCGGCUAAUUCCGUGCCAGCAGCCGCGGUAAUACGGAAGGUGCAAGCGUUAUCCGGUUUUAUUGGGUUUAAAGGGUGCGUAGGCGGCUUAUUAAGUCAGUUGUGAAAUCCUAGUGCUUAACGCUAGAACUGCAAUUGAUACUAUUAGGCUUGAGUUAAGAAGAGGUA